UACAGGGGGUGCAAACGUUGCUCGGAAUUAUUAGGCGUAAAGCGCGCGUAGGCGGCUACUUAAGUCGGAUGUGAAAGCCCCUGGCUCAACUGGGGAAGUGCACCCGAAACUGAGUGGCUUGAGUACAAAAGAGGGUCGCGGAAUUCCCGGUGUAGAGGUGAAAUGCGCAGAUAUCAGGAAGAACACCCGUGGCGAAAGCGGCUCUCUGGAACGGUACUGACGCUGAAGACGCGAAAGCGUGGGGAGCGAACAGG
rnacentral:rRNA from 1 species